GCUAUUUAACGGACAAAUUUAAUUCAUGGUUUACCUUGACUCAACAGGUUGAAACUUUCCCCUUUCUUUUCCACAAAUAAAACAAACCGGUUAGAAUAAGAACAACAUAUUUAAUAUUUUCCUAUUGGUUUAAUAUUAAUAGAAAAAUUGCAACUCUAACGAAUUUCCGAUAUCCAAAUCGUAGCUGAACUAUUAUUUUACAAACGACGUGUUACGAAGUCUACGCUUGUAAUUUCGCAACAACUACUUCCAUGGUAAAUUUGGUUAUUAUAUUAUUUAACUGACAGUUUUUUCUCAGAGCAACUUUUGUCAAAAAAAAAAAAAAAAAAAAAAAAAUUCAGUAAAAUAAGAUUUUUGUUAGAAAGGAUUUCUUGUUCGAUGCUAAAUAAUAUAAUGAAAAUUAACAACAUAAAAUUAUUUAUACUAUGAACGAACGGUGAGUGGAAAACCGUCAUCCAUAUCACAGCCGUUCAAAAUCUUGAAACUUUUAAUCUCAGCCGUUUAAACUAAAUAUUUACGGUUGUUGUGUAGUUCUAGCAAUCGGUUUCCGACGACAAAUAUGGAAGCAACUUGGGGACAAGAAGGAGGAGGGUCGACAAAUACGAAGCCUUCUUUGUCAAAUAGCUAGAAGCAUCCCGCAAGAUCGACUCCACUUCUCUAAUCGGUUUCCUAAUUGGUUUUAUGCAAGAAACCGUUGAAUCCACCCCCAUGAUCUUCCUUCUUCAUCGCACUCAACUGUCCCAUCUAUAUAAAAGUUCAAUUUCAUUCUAAUUGCUUCAAGCCUAUGAUAAUCAUUUACCGCAAAUCAACUGAAAACGUUUUUCCCUUUGAAGAAAAGCCAUCUAAGGUGGUGGGAUUAAGCAUUUGCUGAUGGUUCGGGCGACAUUCUCGCCGAUGUCUAUGCUUAUAAGGUAUUCCUUGAAUUCUAUUACCAUCAUGACAUUUCUUCCGACUUCCUUGAUUUCAUUUAGAGAGUAAGAAUGCCAUGUUAUCUGUAAGUUUUAUCCUAAUUCGUAAAUCAAUGGCAUCACUAUGCAUCGUUAAGGAUUUGCUCAAAGUAUCGAUGAUCGCCAACUACAUUCAACAAAGAAUAAACAUAUAUUUUACUUAAAAUGUGUGUGGAUAUCUCUAUAUAGGUACUAAAUAAUCCGUUUUUUAAUCUUACUCAAUUCAGACUUGAGAAUUUAACUCUUUACUAUACUGCCCACAAAACCUCAAGACGAAGAUCAACACAGUGAAACUAAAACACAAAUGAGCUUACCAUCAAUAGUCUACUCACAAACAUGGUGACAUGGGAUUAGAAUUGGCAUGAUGUCUUCUUUUGGUGAAACAAAUGGUGUUAUCAAGUUUGGAGCUAAUUGCAACCAUUAGUGAUGGUAUUGCUGAACAUACAAUCUGGAUAUAUAGAUGAAUUAUAAUUGGUUAGAUUAAGUUUUGCAUCAUUUAGUGGGAUUAAUAUAACAUUGGCAUUAACAUUAGUUGCUAAUAAUAUAAGUGUUGGAUGCUCACCUUUUCGGUAAUGUUAAUUUGUUUUGUCCACAUCAUAACCCUAUGUCCUUCCUUUUUUGCUCCUACACCUUAGUUUCUUUGAAGUUUGAUCUUUUCUUUUGUGCAGUGAUUCGUAUAUCAAGAACCCAAGUGUGUAUUUUGUUUGGAAACUAGAGUCUCAAAAUGUUUUAUCUGUUUCCAAUUUGAAGAUUUUUUUGGCAAGGUGACUUUGUUGGGGAAGAAACAUGGCUGUAGAAGCCUUGUAAGUCUAAAGACCAUUGGAGAAAGCACAACCUUCUGAUCAUGGGUUAGAGUUAUUAUGACAUUUUCAACAUACCAAUAACAAUUUUGCUAUCACCUACUGUUACAGGACCUAGGAAAAAGGUAUUAUGGCAUUGUCAACAUACCAGUAGCACAUGAUAAAGGUUUUGUGUGUGUUACACCUUGUGUCUAACCAUAUUUGAUCUCUCUACCCAGGAAAUUUAUCAUUUUAUUGAUAU